CUGGAAUAACAUUUCUAAUACCACACUUGGAUACAUGGGAGGGACACAUCAAGACGCUCCCCACAGUCGGUAAGGAAAGGAAACCGUCGCAUCGCACAACAUAUCACUCGGUGUGGUGAAAAUUACAUGAUCUCUGCCGGAUAAACCAAAACUCAGGCCGCCUCUCGCUGCCCUCCCCUGCCCCCUCCCCCUCCUCCGCGGUACAUUAGGCACCACACUCCAUGACCCUUCAUACUAAGCACACUCAAGCACUGAUUACAACUCUGCACUUGAUUUAUUAAUAAUCAACGCAGGAUGACAGAGAGAGAGAGAGAGAGAGAGAGAGAGAGAGAGAGAGAGAGAGAGAGAGAGAGAGAGAGAGAGAGAGAGAGAGAGAGAGAGAGAGAGAGAGAGAGAGAGAGAGAGAGAGAGAGUGUGUGUGUGUGUGUGUGUGUGUGUGUGUGUGUGUGUGUGUGUGUGUGUGUGUGUGUGUGUGUGUGUGUGUGUGUGUAGGUGGGUUAGUGUGUGUGGGUGGGUGUGUGUGUGUGGGUGUUUGCGCGCGCGCGCACCCAAGGAUGUUCAAGGAGGUGCCAAAGGUUCAGUAGUUUAAAGUCACCGGAAGUGCAAUGUGUUCCGGAGCAUGCCAUCACUUCACUGCACACACUGGUCUGCUACUGGCGUCUCGCUCCUUGUGCUUCGUAAGAAAGACUUUAAUACUUAUGAUAUGAAUAGAUACGAAAGCUGUGUAAAGGAACUUGGAUAUAAUGAAAACGUCGGACUCAAAUAGCUCUCACCUUCCUGUACAUUUACUAUCCUUUAGGUAUCCAUCCCUGUCAAUGUUAACCGAGUUCAUAUAACAAAUAUUAAAUAAUGUUCCGUAAGUAAAGCGUUAUGUCGUCGUCAAUUUAUGUCUUUCCUCCCUCACACUGACCCAAGGUAAAGGACUCGUUCUCUCAUGUAUGAAGUUCGCCUUUCCCGUGCAAGUCACGCAGCAUGCUAUAAAUAAGACACAACCAAAGGCUUUUUCUUUUUCACAAUUCUCACCUUAUCUUGCGGUCUUCCAUCUCAAAUAACCAUCUUGCCAUUUUCAAAUGUAUGACUUUCUAUCCUCACUCUGCCCCGCUGCACAACUCAUUUACACCAACUCAUUUAAGCCCUUAUUACGUCCAUCACACUAGUGAAUGAGUUCACACACAUGCGCACUGGAGCUUUACUCAUCACCACACAAUAGGGCCGCGUUACAAAUCAUUCCACUACAAGCCAUAGCCAGCAAGGUGUGUGUGUGUGUGUGUGUGUGUGUGUGUGUGUGUGUGUGUGUGUGUGUGUGUGUGUGUGUGUGUGUGUGUGUGAGAGAGAGAGAGAGAGAGAGAGAGAGAGAGAGAGAGAGAGAGAGAGAGAGAGAGAGAGAGAGAGAGAGAGAGAGAGAGAGAGAGAGAGAGAGAGAGAGUUUUUUUUUUCAAGCAAGUGUGCAUGGGCGUGCGCGCAUGAAACAGGAGCAGCACAUCACCCUUAGCGUCACGUGUCGGAUGAGGAACAUCUCUAAGCGUUUCCUUCUCCCUCCACUCAAUGCCCGGCUCUUUGGCGUGUGUGUGACAACCAAUCUUUUUCCAUCGGCGGUGACGUGACGGGCACUAAGCAAUGAUCCCCUGCUCUUUCUCUUCCAUCUCCCUCACGGUAUGAUUUACAGCGGACAUCAAAUAUGAGCUUAACCUGAGGACGCCGUCGCCUCGUAUCUGUCAGCAUCUUCCCCUCACGCCUCUUUUCUCUGUAAAUUUUCAUCACGUCCUGAAUCUGCACAGUGGCCAAGUCACUCAGGUAUUGUUUUUCCUCAGUCGGUGAAAAAAAAAAAAAAUUAAGGCAGUAUUCUGACCAAGUUUGGUUUUCAGUAACAUUAAUUACUGUAGCCGUCAGACCUAUGUCCUCCCAUCCCACCGACGCCCCACCACAGGUAGAGGAUGAGAGAGCGAAGAUCCUGGUGGCACCGAGGUUCUUGCGUCCUUGAGAAAGGCGCCCCGUGGCACUCUGCCCGUUACAAAAUAAAAUGAGAAGAUAUUAAAGCUUCGGUGAGUGUGUUGGCGCGGUCAGUGUGAGCUCUGGAGGCUGUGGCGGAGGAGGAGCAAGGGGACUAGGAAGGGGGUGUGGGGGAACCUUCCGGGACCACAGGUGACGGCCACGCGCCCUCAGUCCCAGCCCGCUGCAGCAGGAGACACCAGGCUGACAGUGGAAGUCAAACAAUUCGCCCCGGGGACUCACUCAUCACCCGAACGUUUCCCUGACCUACGACCAGACCAAGCACGGAUGACCCGCUUAAAACGUGCACAUUGUUAAUUGGAGCGCAGUCUGAAAGGGAGAACGACAGAAAGGUACUACACUUCGAACCAGACUCCAACACCAAUACUAUCAGAAAAAGAACUGACGUUGCACUUGGCGUGGCGCGGGAUUUGGCGCGUCAGAUGUUGCAUGGCUGGCCAUGGCGGGCAGCGACACAUCCUGACGUCCCGACAAGGCCAGACGUACGAUACACAUGCAGUAAAGGUCAAGUCAAAGUCUAAUGUCAUAAGGAAGCAGCCCGCACCCGAGGAGGUCCACCCAUCUCCAGGCCAACUGAGAAAGGACAGCUAUGAGAUGAAGACACCUAAAGCUUUACCAGUAAG